UACGUAGGGUGCAAGCGUUAAUCGGAAUUACUGGGCGUAAAGCGUGCGCAGGCGGUUUGGUAAGACAGAUGUGAAAUCCCUGGGCUCAACCUAGGAAUUGCAUUUGUGACUGCCCGACUAGAGUGUGUCAGAGGGGGGUAGAAUUCCACGUGUAGCAGUGAAAUGCGUAGAGAUGUGGAGGAAUACCGAUGGCGAAGGCAGCCCCCUGGGAUAACACUGACGCUCAUGCACGAAAGCGUGGGGAGCAAAC
rnacentral:rRNA from 1 species